rnacentral:piRNA from 1 species
UAGACACCAGGAAUGCCAUUAUUGUGUAC